AACGAACGCUGGCGGCAUGCCUAACACAUGCAAGUCGAACGAGACCUUCGUGACUAGUGGCGCACGGGUGCGUAACGCGUGGGAACCUGCCCGUAGGUUCGGAAUAACUCUCCGACAGGGGUGCUAAUACAGGAUAACUUACUCGGAUCAAAGAUUUCUCGUCCUUGGGUGCGCAGGCGUUGGUUUAGCUUGUGGGUAUGGUAAAAGCCUACGAAGGCGACGAUAGAUAGCUGGUCUGAGAGGAAGAUCAGCCACACUGGGACGCGGACACGGCCCAGACUACUACGGGAGGCAGGAGUGGGGAAUAUUGGAAUAUGGGGGAAAGCCUGAUCCAGCAAUGCCGCGUGAGUGAUGAAGGCGUUAGGGUUGUAAAGCUCUUUUACCCGGGAUGAUAAUGACAGUACCGGGAGAAUAAGCACCGGCUAACUCCGUG
rnacentral:rRNA from 1 species